UGCUAGCUUGCUAAUAAUUCUCUAGUGGCGCACGGGUGAGUAACACGUGAGUAACCUGCCCCCAAGAGUGGGAUAGCCCCGGGAAACUGGGAUUAAUACCGCAUAAAAUCGCAAGAUUAAAGCAGCAAUGCGCUUGGGGAUGGGCUCGCGUCCUAUUAGUUAGUUGGUGAGGUAACGGCUCACCAAGGCGAUGACGGGUAGCCGGUCUGAGAGGAUGUCCGGCCACACUGGAACUGAGACACGGUCCAGACACCUACGGGUGGCAGCAGUCGAGAAUCAUUCACAAUGGGGGAAACCCUGAUGGUGCGACGCCGCGUGGGGGAAUGAAGGUCUUCGGAUUGUAAACCCCUGUCAUGUGGGAGCAAAUUAAAAAGAUAGUACCACAAGAGGAAGAGACGGCUAACUCUGUGCCAGCAGCCGCGGUAAUACAGAGGUCUCAAGCGUUGUUCGGAAUCACUGGGCGUAAAGCGUGCGUAGGCGGUUUCGUAAGUCGUGUGUGAAAGGCGGGGGCUCAACCCCCGGACUGCACAUGAUACUGCGAGACUAGAGUAAUGGAGGGGGAACCAGAAUUCUCGGUGUAGCAGUGAAAUGCGUAGAUAUCGAGAGGAACACUCGUGGCGAAGGCGGGUUCCUGGACAUUAACUGACGCUGAGGCACGAAGGCCAGGGGAGCGAAAGGGAUUAGAUACCCCUGUAGUCCUGGCAG
rnacentral:rRNA from 1 species